rnacentral:rRNA from 1 species
UUCUGGCUCAGGAUGAACGCUGGCGGCGUGCCUAACACAUGCAAGUCGAGCGAUUACUUCGGUAAAGAGCGGCGGACGGGUGAGUAACGCGUGGGCAACCUGCCUCAUACACAUGGAUAACAUACCGAAAGGUAUGCUAAUACAGGAUAAUGUAAGAGAUUCACAUGGAUUUCUUAUCAAAGCUCCGGCGGUAUGAGAUGGACCCGCGUCUGAUUAGCUAGUUGGUAAGGUAAUGGCUUACCAAGGCGACGAUCAGUAGCCGACCUGAGAGGGUGAUCGGCCACAUUGGAACUGAGACACGGUCCAAACUCCUACGGGAGGCAGCAGUGGGGAAUAUUGCACAAUGGGCGAAAGCCUGAUGCAGCAACGCCGCGUGAGUGAUGAAGGCCUUCGGGUCGUAAAACUCUGUCCUCAAGGAAGAUAAUGACGGUACUUGAGGAGGAAGCCCCGGCUAACUACGUGCCAGCCGCCGC